GCUUUUUUCGAUCCGAUAGGUCUCUUACUACGUUGGUCAGUAUGUGUAUCCACUGGUGGUAGCUCAUCCCGUAAAACAUACGGUUGUGGAGAAUAACUUGGUGGGGAAUUCAUUGGUUGAGAUGAAGGAAAUGUGGACUGCGAAUGAAAUAACUCCGUUUCAAUUUCAUCCACCAUAUCUUCUUGCGCAUUUAGCAUCACCCAGUCCUUACCAACUUCCCAACAACGUUGCAAGUUGAAAGCUUUUUUAGCAUUUCUUCGAUAGAUACUCAAUGCCAGAGUAUACUACAAAUACAAAUUAAAAAUUAAUAUACUUUAUGCAAAUAUAUAAAUAAUACAAAAUACUAUUAUCAUAACAUUUACCUCAUCGACCAGGUUUCCUCCGCUACCGCAAACACUUGAUGCUUCUUUAGUUGCCGAAUACCAGUGGUUCAAAUACUUAGAAAUUUGUUUUCUCCACCGACUGAGUACGGCAUCUUUUGUUCUAAUAUUAUACGCAAUCCCGUCCUCAUCUUUUGUUCUAAUAUUAUACGCUUUAUUUGCUUUAGUGAAGCAGCCUGGAAGAGGGUGGAAUCUGAAGGACCUAAGAAAUAUUAUGAUGACAUGUAUCGUACUCCACAAUAUGAUUGUGGAAGACGAACGAGAUGAAUACGCUGAUGCUGAGUCAGAUGACGAUGACAACAACCCAGCCACAUCUCGCAGAGCUCGUGCCAAC
rnacentral:lncRNA from 1 species